rnacentral:rRNA from 1 species
AAACUAACAAGGAUUCCCUUAGUAACGGCGAGUGAACCGGGAAAAGCUCAAAUUUGUAAUCUGGCUGUCUUCGAUAGUCCGAGUUGUAAUCUAUAGACGUGUUUUCCGUGCUGGACCGUAUCUAAGUCCCUUGGAACAGGGUAUCAAAGAGGGUGACAAUCCCGUGCUUGAUACGACCACCAGUGCUCUGUGAUACACGCUCUACGAGUCGAGUUGUUUGGGAAUGCAGCUCAAAAUGGGUGGUAAAUUCCAUCUAAAGCUAAAUAUUGGCGAGAGACCGAUAGCGAACAAGUACCGUGAGGGAAAGAUGAAAAGCACUUUGGAAAGAGAGUUAAACAGUACGUGAAAUUGUUGAAAGGGAAACGAUUGAAGUCAGUCGUGUUCUUUGGAUUCAGCUAGUUCUUCUAGUCUACUUCCAUUGAACGGGUCAACAUCAGUUUUGUCCGGUGGAUAAAGAUAGUAGGAAUGUAGCUCCCUCGGGAGUGUUAUAGACUAUUAUUGCAUACACUGGGUGAGACUGAGGACUGCAGCUCGCCUUUUGGCCGGUCUUCGGACACGUUCGAGCUUAGGAUGUUGACAUAAUGGCUUUAAACGACC